AUCUUCGUGCAUAGGCAAACUCAUUGUAGCUAGACUGUACAAAGUAUAUCAAGAUAUGCCAAAUAUUGAGCUUAACUUCACCUGUUUGAGAGACGGUGUUUCUUUUAGCUUGCAACACCAUGAAAAAAUUACUGAGACACUAGGAAUGCUGUGAACUGAGAAAGUUUGGGACCUUUGGCAUAACUAAAUCCUUUAUUUAACAGUGUUGUAAACUACUUGUCAUGGGAUAACCAAAAUUAAACCUGGAAUCUCAGAAGAAACAAAUUGUUUGAAGAAGUUGGAUGUGCUUUUUUAAAAUUUUUCAUUCAACUAAAACUUUGUGAACUGUUUCUUGGUUGUGGUCUUCUCUAAAUUUUAAUCUUUGGCAUUCACUUCCAAAGUAUCCCUCACUAAACUUCAUAACAUUUAUUAUGUCUCUUCAUCAUUAAACUUUGAUGAAUU
rnacentral:antisense_RNA from 1 species